rnacentral:rRNA from 1 species
AGCGAACGCUGGCGGCAGGCCUAACACAUGCAAGUCGAACGAAGUCUUCGGACUUAGUGGCGGACGGGUGAGUAACACGUGGGAACGUGCCCUUAGGUUCGGAAUAACUCAGGGAAACUUGUGCUAAUACCGAAUGUGCCCUUCGGGGGAAAGAUUUAUCGCCUUUAGAGCGGCCCGCGUCUGAUUAGCUAGUUGGUGAGGUAAAGGCUCACCAAGGCGACGAUCAGUAGCUGGUCUGAGAGGAUGAUCAGCCACAUUGGGACUGAGACACGGCCCAAACUACUACGGGAGGCAGCAGUGGGGAAUCUUGCGCAAUGGGCGAAAGCCUGACGCAGCCAUGCCGCGUGAAUGAUGAAGGUCUUAGGAUUGUAAAAUUCUUUCACCAGGGACGAUAAUGACGGUACCCGGAGAAGAAGCCCCGGCUAACUUCGUGCCAGCCGCCGCGGUAAAAC